UUCCAGCUCCAAUAGCGUAUAUUCAAGUUGUUGCAGUUAAAAAGCCCGUAGUUGAAUUUCGGGCCUGGUUGAAUGGUUUGGACGCAAGUUCAACACUGUUCUGAUUGGGUCUUUCCUUCUAGGGAACUAGUGUGCUAUUCAUUUAGUGCGCUAGGGAUCUAGGACUGUUACUUUGAAAAAAUUAGAGUGUUUAAAACAGGCUUACGCUUGAAUACAUUAGCAUGGAAUAACGGAAUAGGACUUUGUUUCUAUUUUGUUGGUUUUCAGGAACAAAGUAAUGAUUAAUAGGGAUAGUUGGGGAGAUUAGUAUUCCACAGUCAGAGGUGAAAUUCUUGGAUUUGUGGAAGACUAACUUCUGCGAAAGCAUUUCUCAAGGAUGUUUUCAUCG
rnacentral:rRNA from 1 species